rnacentral:rRNA from 1 species
CCUACGGGAGGCUGCAGUGGGGAAUAUUGCACAAUGGGGGAAACCCUGAUGCAGCGACGCCGCGUGAGUGAAGAAGUAUCUCGGUACGUAAAGCUCUAUCAGCAGGGAAGAAAAUGACGGUACCUGACUAAGAAGCCCCGGCUAACUACGUGCCAGCAGCCGCGGUAAUACGUAGGGGGCAAGCGUUAUCCGGAAUCACUGGGUGUAAAGGGAGCGUAGACGGCUUUGCAAGCCUGAAGUGAAAGGCGGGGGCCCAACCCCUGGACUGCUUUGGGAACUGUACGGCUGGAGUGCAGGAGAGGUAAGUGGAAUUCCUAGUGUAGCGGUGAAAUGCGUAGAUAUUAGGAGGAACACCAGUGGCGAAGGCGGCUUACUGGACUGUAACUGACGUUGAGGCUCGAAAGCGUGGGGAGCAAACAGGAUUAGAUACCCCAGUAGUC